rnacentral:rRNA from 1 species
UACGUAGGUGGCAAGCGUUGUCCGGAAUUAUUGGGCGUAAAGCGCGCGCAGGCGGUCCUUUAAGUCUGAUGUGAAAGCCCACGGCUCAACCGUGGAGGGUCAUUGGAAACUGGGGGACUUGAGUGCAGGAGAGAAGAGUGGAAUUCCACGUGUAGCGGUGAAAUGCGUAGAGAUGUGGAGGAACACCAGUGGCGAAGGCGGCAUCCUGGACCGAUAUUGACGCUGAUGCGCGAAAGCCAGGGGAGCAAACGGG